UCUCUCGUAGCUUAGUGGUCAGGGCAUUGGUACGUAAUGCGAAAGGUCUGGGGUUCAAUUCCCGGCGAGGGUG
rfam:Agrilus planipennis Contig59476, whole genome shotgun sequence.